UACGGGGGGGGCAAGUGUUCUUCGGAAUGACUGGGCGUAAAGGGCACGUAGGCGGUGAAUCGGGUUGAAAGUGAAAGUCGCCAAAAAGUGGCGGAAUGCUCUCGAAACCAAUUCACUUGAGUGAGACAGAGGAGAGUGGAAUUUCGUGUGUAGGGGUGAAAUCCGUAAAUAUACGAAGGAACGCCAAAAGCGAAGGCAGCUCUCUGGGUCCCUACCGACGCUGGGGUGCGAAAGUGUGGGGAGCGAACAGG
rnacentral:rRNA from 1 species